rnacentral:misc_RNA from 1 species
UACGGAGGGGGCUAGCGUUGUUCGGAAUUACUGGGCGUAAAGCGCGCGUAGGCGGUUAGCAUAGUCAGGUGUGAAAGCCCCGGGCUCAACCCGGGAAUAGCACUUGAUACUGGUUGACUGGAGUUCGGAAGAGGAGAGUGGAAUUCCCAGUGUAGAGGUGAAAUUCGUAGAUAUUGGGAAGAACACCAGUGGCGAGGGCGGCUCUCUGGUCCGAUACUGACGCUGAGGCGCGAAAGCGUGGGGAGCAAACAGG